rnacentral:rRNA from 1 species
UACGUAGGGUGCAAGCGUUGUCCGGAAUUAUUGGGCGUAAAGGGCUCGUAGGCGGUCCAUCGCGUCGGGAGUGAAAAGCUGGGGCUCAACCCCAGUCCUGCUUCCGAUACGGGUGGACUAGAGGUAUGCAGGGGAGAACGGAAUUCCUGGUGUAGCGGUGGAAUGCGCAGAUAUCGUAAGGAAGACCAGUGGCGAAGGCGAGUCUCUGGACAGCAACUGACGCUGAGGCACGAAGGCCAGGGGAGCAAACGGG